rnacentral:rRNA from 1 species
AACGAACGCUGGCGGCAUGCCUAACACAUGAAAGUCGAACGAGACCUUCGGGUCUAGUGGCGCACGGGUGCGUAACGCGUUGGAAUCUGCCCCUGGGUGCGGAAUAACAGUUAGAAAUGACUGCUAAUACCGCAUAAUGACUCCGGUCCAAAGCUUUAUCGCACAGGGAUGAGCCCGCGUCGGAUUAGCUAGUUGGUAGGGUAACAGCCGACCAAGGCAACGAUCCGUAGCUGGUCUGAGAGGAAGAUAAGCCACACUGGGACUGAGACACGGCCCAGACUCCUGCAGGAGGCAGCAGUGGAGAAUAUUGAACAAUGAGCGAAAGCCUGAUCCAGCAAUGCCGCGUGAGUGAUGAAGGCCUUAGGGUUGUAAAGCUCUUUUACCCGGGAUAAUAAUGACAGUACCGGGAGAAUAAGCCCCGGCUAACUCCGUGCCAGCAGCCGCUGUAAUAC